CACAUGCCUAAUCUGACAGUUUAGAAACUCAGACCAUGUUCCAAACGGAGAGACUGCCUAUUUGAGGCAGAGGCUUCAGCUGAGCUGGGGUCUAAAGUGUCCAAGGAGGACCUUGGCUCUGCUACAGGCACUGUGGUCAGCUGACCAUGAUACCCAGACCCCCAGGCAGCCACCAAGCACCCUGUGAAUGUCCCCCCCCCCCCAGUGCUGCUUCAGGGCCUUGAGAACCCUACUGCCAGGGUCAGCAGUGCUGUGUCCUGCAGGGUCAGCAGUGCUGCCGCCCAUUGCUGCCUGUCCUGGCUGUGCAUGCAUCCUCCUGCCUUGGUCAGGAGGUACCUGGAGGGGAAGGUCGUGCGAGCAGCACAUGGCGUCAUGCUGCUUAGCCCGCUCUGCUUCACACUCUCCUCACUACCCCCUUGCCUGCCAUCUUGAAUCAAUUCUGAGGUCCUGACAGCUGGGAUGGCUGGAAUGUAGAUGGGUCCCUCUGCCACGCUGACACCUACUUCUCACAUCCUCACUACCUGUCUUGGCACAUGCCUGCCAGCCCCAGAGAGAUGCAUGGCAGUGACAGAGCGUGUACACGGACAGAGGAUGGGACAGAAGAAUCACCAGGCGUCUGUGUGCAGCCCAGCCCCAGGGAGCGCCUGGCAUGCUAUCCUUCCUGCUGCUUUCUGGGUUGGAGAGCUGAGGUCAGUACCAGCCAGAGCAUAGCAGGUAUGAAGAACUGUGUGAGGUGGCAUUCGGUGAAGAGCAAAGCCUCUGGGACAGUCUGGGCUCAAGCAGGCACUCCCCAAGUGAAUCCCCAAGUGGGAAGCAGAUACUGGCCCUGAACAGCCACUGGGGUGCAUUUUCGGCUUUGUCCUCACAGCAGGCCCAGAAGGGGCACUGAGGAAGACUUGAUUCCAUCCACACUAGGCAGCAGGCAGGCGUAUCAGCCAGAGGCCUUCCACCUGUGCCUGUGUCCUGUCGGAUUUGUUUCUCAAUAAUGUAGCUUGUAGCUAGGGGCGAGAUGAGAUGCCAUCUGUUAAGAGAGACAACUACUGAGGUCCUUGUCCCUCAGUGAGGACAAAGAGGCUCCAGGGCUGACCAGCUGCUGCUGAUCUA